rnacentral:rRNA from 1 species
UACGGGGGGGGCAAGCGUUGUUCGGAAUUACUGGGCGUAAAGGGCUCGUAGGUGGCCAACUAAGUCAGACGUGAAAUCCCACGGCUUAACCGUGGAAUUGCUUGGUAUACUGGAUGUCUUGAGCCACUUAGGGGCAACCGGAACAAAUGGUGGAGCGGUGAAAUGCGUAGAUAUCAUUUGGAACGCCAAUGGUGAAAACAGGUUGCUGGGAGUGUGCUGACACUGAGACACGAAAGCCAGGGGAGCAAACGGG